AACGCGAAGAACCUUACCUGGGCUCGAACGGCUCACGAACGUCCUUGGAAACAGGGAUUUCCCGCAAGGGACGGGAGUCGAGGUGCUGCAUGGCUGUCGUCAGCUCGUGUCGUGAGAUGUUGGGUUAAGUCCCGCAACGAGCGCAACCCUUGUCCUGUGUUGCCAUGCCGCAAGGCGGCACUCGCAGGAGACCGCCAGCGAUAAGCUGGAGGAAGGUGGGGAUGACGUCAAGUCCUCAUGGCCUUUAUGUCCAGGGCUACACACGUGCUACAAUGGCCGGUACAAAGCGUCGCUAACCCGCGAGGGGGAGCCAAUCGCAAAAAACCGGUCUCAGUUCGGAUUGCAGGCUGCAACUCGCCUGCAUGAAGCUGGAAUCGCUAGUAAUGGCAGAUCAGCACGCUGCCGUGAAUACGUUCCCGGGCCUUGUACACACCGUAGUAC
rnacentral:rRNA from 1 species